GGUGUAGCCCAGAAGAGAGUGAUGGCGGCGCCGCCCAAUGGACGCGUGGGUGGAAGGGCCCGAGCCUCCUCAUCCACCCCCUCCUUCCGCCCCCCACUUGUGCAUGCCUCUGCCCCCCCGGGCCGCGGAACUCUCCUGGGGCGACCCCGAGUCCCACCCCGCUGCUCCGUGCCGUCCUCGCAGCUCGAGCCCUCCUCCAGCCCAGCAGUGCUCCCGCAGCGUCUGGCCGCUGGUCGUCGGCAGACGAAAGGGCUUGAACCGCGGCUGACCUUAGCCUUUGUCCCUCGGCCUAGUUCCGCAGCUGCCGUCGAGGCCGCCAGCCCCUCCCCCAGCAUGUUUGGGCUAAGCCGCCUCCUUUCCGCCUGCGUUGGAGAGAGAGGUACCAGAAGGAAUGAAAGGACUGGGGCUUGUCUCCAUGGCAACUGAAAGAAAGAGAGAAAAAUUGGUCACCUCCAGGACUGAGACCCUGACCCUUCCAAGCAUCCCCACUACCAAAGGCUGCCCAAGCCCGGAAGGAUCCCAUCCCGUUCUGUACUCUGAGGUCACUUCCUCACUCCGUCAAAUUUCACUGGACUGUGGGCUAAUUAAAAGUGCCUCCGUAUUAGCGGGGCGUGGUGGCCCAUGCCUAUAAUCCCAGCUACUUGGGAAGCUGAGGCAGGAAAAUUGCUUGAACCCGGGUGGCGGAGGCUGCAGUGACCCAACAUUGUGCAACAAGAGCGAAACUCCGUCUCAAAAAAAAUAAAAAA
rnacentral:lncRNA from 1 species